rnacentral:lncRNA from 11 species
AUUUAAAAAGCGCAGUGUCGAGUGCGGAAGUGUGAUCAGGCUUUUUCAGAACAGCAGUUCCCUCGCUUUGUUUCCCAAAGUUCCUGGAGGAGGAGAGAGACAGACCUAUGAAAGCAAGGUGUGGUUUGGUUUCAAACAGUU